GUCAUAUGCUUAUGUCAAAGAUUAAGCCAUGCAUGUCUAAGUACACAGACUAGUACUCUGAAACCGCGGAUGGCUCAUUAUAACAGCUAUAAUUUGAGAGAUUUAAUGCUUGCUACAGGAUAACUGUGGUAAUUCUAGAGCUAAUAUUUUAAAAAUAUCGUGACUUCGGAAGCGAUGGAUUUAUUAGAUCAAAAUCAACCCAUUUAACGAUGGUAUUUUGGUGACUCUGGAUAACUUGACUGAUCGUACAGCCUUAGUGCUGAUGACAUAUCUCUUGAAAUGGCUGACCUAUCAACUUUCGAUGGUAAGAUCAAAGCUUACCAUGGUUAUAACGGGUAACGGGGAAUCAGGGUUCGAUUCCGGAGAGGGAGCCUGAGAAACGGCUACCACAUCCACGGAAGGCAGCAGGCGCGUAAAUUACCCAAUACCGGCUCGGUGAGGUAGUGACAAUAAAUAACAAUAUGAGCCCAUAUGGGUUUCGUAAUUGCAAUGAGAACAUUUUAAAUACUUUAUCAAGUAUCAAUUGGAGGGCAAGUCU
rnacentral:rRNA from 1 species